GGCAGGUUUUCUCCAUUUCUUCUGACCUCCAUGGAGACAUGACAGUCGGCCUGGGCCCUGGCCACCUCCUGUAGGCAGGGGGCAGGGAAAGGACAUUCUACAGGUCCUCCAGAGAAAACACUUUCAGUAUCCUGCACAAAGACCAGGCAUGGGAAUUCUGGGGUCCUCCUAGAGGAAGAUGGUUGGGGUCUCAACAUCUUCUUUCAGCGGGCUGAGAAUGUGAGGAGAAAGCCCUCCUAGAAGCCGUUCAUCCCCGACAAGGGGUUAAAUGUAAAGACAUCAAAAGAUCUGGAUAUGACAGCAGACACAUCAUUGGAACGGCCGCCCUUGAGGUCCCUCCAGAGAUGCAAAGUGACACAGCGGGUGAUCUGGACCCCCACCCUGGGAAGCUUCAAGAAGCCAGAAGGCAUUUGACAUGCUGACCCUGAUGGUAAGAGAAUGGGAGGACGGGAAGCAGAGUUUCCAAGGCGAAGGUCGCAGUCUCAGACGCAAACUUGCAGAAGUUCUGCGUAACUGUGUUGUCCCUGGUGCGGCCAGCUGGUGUGGUGGAGGCCAAGUGGAAAUGAAGUUAUUAAGAAGAAUGUUAAAGCCCCCAAAAAUGGUACAGAGAGAGAGAGCCUGAGACAGGUGCUGAAGUCAUUUUGUAAAGUAAAUGGAAGUGAAUUUGAAAAGAAUGACUCAAAUUUCCAUUAAAAUGCCUCUGGGACAAAAGAUUACAAGAAGAUAUGCAACAAUUCUCAGCUGCCUUCAUAUUAGUAUAAUGCAUUGGGGACCUCAAAUAAGGCUUCAUUGCCCACUGAAUUUCCACUGAUGCGACUAUUAUUCAAUCGACAGUCCAGAUUCGGAGGGAAGGGAUGUGAUUGCCUUGCCAACCACUUGCACAUCUGUUUAGGCAGAGCCCGUCCUGCCAGGCCCAGCCUAUCUGAAGGCAGACUGGAGAUGGACCACCUGGAGCAGGGGACCGUGGCCAGCCAGGCCAGGCUGGGGCAGAGCCACCGAUGCAGAACAUGCCAUCCCGGCAACUUAGCUUCCGAGGAAAACCACUGGGAUUGAGAAGAAAAACUUCUUACUCAGAAAUGGGUGAUCUGAAUUUGAGUUGAAAAUCUACUACUUCUUAACUCUGUAUCCAAGUUACUACUGGAGCUCCAAGAGCAUCAGUAUCAUCUGUGAAGGAAUCUGAUGCCAAGAGGACUGAACUCCACUUUCUGCGGCUGCUGCCACCACCAGGGCGGAGGAACUGAGUGUUUGAACAACCAGUGGCCACCCGGCCUCGGCCAUUUAAGCACAAAGGCAGAAUAUCCAAGACUCGGUGGACCUCUCUUGUCAGCUUCAACAUUUGCCAGCCAUAGUCAUUGAACUCCAAGAUCUCCGCUCUAUGCCACAGUAGCUAUAAAAAGUGAGGGAUGAGCCUAUUGGUCUGCUGAGCGGAAGAGCCAACAGAACAUCAAAGAGCCGUGCUCGAGGGAUGUUUACAGCUAAGGAGGCUCCGCGGGGCGCUGCUUGAAGGACAUGAAGUCCGUCCAUCUCUCCAGGUACUUUGGAUUAUAUCUCAAGAUCAAGGUAAACCAUCUAAACCAAAUACUUGAACCAUAUCGUUUCAGCUUCUUUGACUUUUACUCACUUUCAGUGACUUACGUUUUGGCAUGGGGCCUCGGCCUGCAUCGAGGAACCCCACAGGAAACAGCCAUUGGCCCGUCGGUGUUGUUAGCAUCAUGGCGGAUGUGGAGGAAGCCACUUGCCUCUGAACCACGCAUGUUCCACUCAUGAGGGCACAGAGAGCCCUUUCCCUUAGAAACAGGCGUUCCCUUGGUUUUUCAGUAGCAACCCCAGUGUGUUCGUCGGGUGUAGGGUGCAUGGUCUUGAAACCACAAUGCUUGGGUUCCAAUCUAGCACCGGCACCUCGUAGCUGGCUGACCUGGAGGCUCUUAACUUCUCUGGGACUCAGUUUUCUCAUCUGCAAAAUAACCAAAGUCAUCCUACCUACUUCAGAAGUCUGCGGUAAGAAUUAAAUGACACGGUCAAUGUCCAAGUGCUUGUUCCUGUCGUCCGGCAAAUCAUAAGUCCACUGUACGCAUUUGCUGUUAGUGUUCUCAUGACAAAUAUGAUCUCACCACUGCCCCUGUGUUUAUGCGUUGCCUUCAUCCUCAUUGUGGCGUGCGGUAGCAUGUUUUAAGUCAUUUCUGGUCACCAAUUAAUAGUAUUGUUUUCCUUUUGUCCUUUUUUUUUUUUAAUUUAUUUCUUUUCAGUGUAACAGAAUUCAUUGUUUUUGCACCAUACCCAGUGCUCCAUGCAACACGUG